UUUUAGGUCUCGCUCUCUCUAUUUAGCUGCUUGAUCGUCAAUGGCUUUCUUGGCUUUCUAGUUUCGUUCCGCUCGUCGUGGAUCUGGCGAAACUACUGCUACUAGCCGAAAGCAGAGAUCUUUCGGGGUUUCCGAUUCUUCGUCCUUCUAAUAGUGCAUGUAUUCGAGCUCCUGGUGAUGCGGCAAUCGACCAAUUUUUUGUCUUUUGGUUAUGAUCCCUUUUUUGUCCUUUUUUUGUUUAUUAUAUUGUAUGAUAAUCGAGCAUUGAGGUUUGUGGAUCGACCCCGUGCUAGUUUUUGUUUUUUAAUUGCUCGAUGUUCGAUUUCUCUAGCAGUAACCCUUUUUUGCCUUUGAGUUUCUGGAUAUUGGUUUGAUUGCGUGAUGUUUUAUGACUUCGAUGCUCUAUUUAGGUUUUCUCUUUCUUGUCUGAGAGAUAAAUGAAGGAUUUUUUUUUUCCCUGGUUGGAUUUGGGAGCAGAUGGAUCGUGAUUCCUGAUUAUCACGUUGAAGUUUCUAUCCUCUCCUUUCUAAAGCUGUAACUUUUCAUGAUAAAUUUCUCUGAUUCUUGUGAUUUAGGUAUUUAUGAUAUGAGCUUGAAGAAGGUAUGGUGAUGCUUGCUCGUUAGCCCCUUUGCAUGGGCAUGGUUGACAACGAGAGAGAGCACGCCGGUCCUCGGUCCAUACUGGAUACUAUGGUCUUGUACUAGCGUGCUCUUUCUCGUUGUCAUCCGGUUUGCCUUGUCAAGCGUCUUAUUCUUCGCCUUGUUCUGGAGUUGAUGGAUUGGUUGUAUCACUUGUUGCCUCUCCCCAGCAGUAUCUCCAGGGCCCCUAAACUAAUGAUGUUUGUUCAUCGAGUUGACAAUUGAUAUUCCAGUUCUCUGGAAACACUACAUACAAUGCUUUAGCAAUUGCAAAAAAAAAGGCUCGCGGAGUUAGCGUUAGGCCUAUCAGGAGGAUGCAGAAGGGGAUUUGUUUGCAGUGUAAGGCAAUGACCACACUUUUUGAUGGCCUAAGAAUAAAGCUGUCUUCAGUACAGGUUUCUCGAUACUCUUUGUAGUAGCUUGUAUCGAUCGAUUUUUUCUCAUUUUGUAGUAGUUUGUUUCACUUGUAAGCUGGAACCACAGCUGAAGAAGUUACUAUGGUUCAGUUGAAACCAAAAUCUGUAUAGGUAUAGCUGAUGCAGUUGACAAUCAAAACCAUUUUUUGUUUUUAUAUUGCUGGGAAGAGUCUCUUACAGAUAAGAUUAGAUUUAAUGUGGUCAGCUUCUCUUAGAUAAAUAUUGUUUAUGAAUAUUAUUCCUGCAUAAUUCAUACUUUCUGUUCAUAAACGUGUUCAAGGAAUAUAAAUAAACGGUCACCAAGUGCAUAGGUAUACAAUUACUCUCUGCAUAAUUUAGUAGAACGAAUAGGGGCAUCCGUGUCUUUUUACUGGAACACAGUGGUCUCCCUCUUUCUUCCCGCUCUUCUAUCCCAAGUUCACCGCUCGUUGCCCUGCCCUCCUCCUCGUAUAAGUUGCUACGUGGCAGAGUCCAUUCAGGCGAUCUCGGGCUCAUAUUAAAAGUUUCCGAUCAAAUCUCGCGCGGAUAAACAAGUCUUGCUCUCUCGAUUCUAGUCGGAAACCUAGGGAAAUGGAGAUCGUUCGAACUAGAGGAAGCGACUCAUGUUACCUCCUUGACGACGACGUCCAAACUCUCCUUUUACCGCUCCACGUCGGCGCUCGAGGUCCGCCUGGAAGAUUUCGAGAAAGAUCGCCUCCGAGGAUAACUCCGAUGGUUUGUCCCGAGGAAAAAGACCCGAAGAGAUGGAGAAAUUGGGAUGAAUUAAGAAAAUGUUUCUUUCCAUGGAGACUUCUCUUUUCCGCUAUCCAUUCCAAAUAGAAAGCCCUGAGUCACAGAGGUCACUCAUGUCCGAGUUUCAACUUCCCUAUAAUGCUAUUAGUCGUGCCGAAUUUGAGAAAAUGGACAUCUACCAUUAGAGACACAUUGAGGGACAGGCUAGCUCCUGCGAAUCAUUGAAGCACUAACCACAGGGUAUCUGGGGCUUGAUUACUCUAGCUGUAUGUGAUAAUAUACUAGUGUUGUCCCUAAAGUUAAGGGAAACUCACCAUUUAAAGCAUGGAGGAAGAAUGCAACUUGGACUUUUCUUUAAGGUACUUCUAUUCAACUGUUGCAAUGAUCUAUUUUAGAAAUGAAAGUGACUUGAUUUGCCCUGAAAUAUUUGAUGUUUGUCUUGUCUUUUCUUAUGAUUGUAGCUUUGAGAUUUUCUGAAACCGUCUUGUUGUGAAUCCUUUUCAAUUCGCAGGGUGUAGGCUUAAGAUUGGAAGAUGCUCUUCUAUUCUGGAAAUCAGAAUUCUCUCAGAAGGUUGUAUGAAUUACUUCCUUUUUCAAUUGUACUAUUGUAUCUUCAUUCAGAUAGAUUAAUAUAUCAGAGGCGCAAUUUCUUAAAACACUGCAAUAUGAUGAAGAGGAAUGGACUCCUCACUUGAAACUAGCAAAUUGAAGACUCAUAAUCUAAUUCUCUAGCAACUGCUUAGCCUGCUCUCCUGUUUACAGGUUUUGAUGAUGAUUUAUCAAGAUAAUCUUUAUUCUAGCCAAGAAAAUGGUUAAGUGCCUUUCACAUUCCAUAUCUAUAUAUUAAAAUGACCAAUUUGGCAAGGUGCCCUUGUUAUGGAAAUACCUGUAUUGUUCAAAAAGCUACUCUGGUAUUAAAUCAUACUUCAUGAUUCGUUUCCCCUUAUUCUCUAUGUUAAUAUCUUAUACUCAUUUAGUUAUUACAUUCUGGCUUAGGUUGGUGCCGAGCGUUUUGACAAAGAAGAUGCAUAUUCGAUACAUCACAAUUAUGGAAAAGAAGGAACAAGAACAGAUUACACUCCUUACUCUUGCCAAAAAGUUAUUUCUUCAACUCCUAGUGUCAGUGAUCAGAAUGGAUGCCCUUAUCCACAUUUCAGUGAGGAAAAUUUGUGAGCUGCUCUUACUAAAAUGGGGGUUGGCAGACGGUCCGUAGGCGGCAUAUUGGAUAAAGUUUGGAAUCGACAUUUUCAGAUACCUUGUACAUUGUCAUUCAAGGCUAUCCACAAUGCCCCAUGCGACAGCGGCAUCAGCCACCCCAAUCAGUACUGCAACUCAAGCCAAAAGGUUCUCCAGAAUAAAGAUGGAGAGCACUUGAUUUCGAUGCGUCUAUGGCCGACUAGCUGACCCAACUUGGUUGGCAUUAACAAAUAGCUUGUGGUGUAAACCUUGAAGUGUUGCAUAAUGUGUUGCUACUAGUCCCCAUCUUCGCCAUUCAUAUUGAGAUGAUCUUCUUUACCACACAUUUUCUGAAUGUUUCAUGCUCAGCUCGAUAUCUGAGGAAACAACUCUAUAUAUCUGUGUGUGUUCAGCCUCUUGAAUCUGUCUAAUAUGCUCAAUCUGUAAAGGUCAUUAUGAACUUGAAUCUGUCUAAUAUACUCAAUCUGUAAAGGUCAUUAUCAACUUGAAUCUGUCUAAUAUGCUCAAUCUGUAAAGGUCAUUAUGAAAGUUUAGUCUGAGUUUUUAGAAAUACUUUGCCCUAAGUUU